UACAGAGGUGGCAAGCGUUGUUCGGAAUUACUGGGCGUAAAGCGCGUGUAGGCGGCUCUUCAAGUCAGGCGUGAAAGCCCCGGGCUCAACUCGGGAACUGCGCUUGAUACUGUCGAGCUAGAGUGUGGAAGGGGCGAUUGGAAUUCCGUGUGUAGCGGUGAAAUGCGCAGAUAUCAGGAAGAACACCCGUGGCGAAGGCGGCUCUCUGGGACGGUACUGACGCUGAGACGCGAAAGCGUGGGGAGCGAACAGG
rnacentral:rRNA from 1 species